rnacentral:rRNA from 1 species
UACGUAGGGCGCAAGCGUUGUCCGGAAUUAUUGGGCGUAAAGAGCUCGUAGGCGGCUUGUCACGUCGGAUGUGAAAGCCCGGGGCUUAACUCCGGGUCUGCAUUCGAUACGGGCUGGCUAGAGUUCGGUAGGGGAGAUCGGAAUUCCUGGUGUAGCGGUGAAAUGCGCAGAUAUCAGGAGGAACGCCGGUGGCGAAGGCGGAUCUCUGGGCCGAUACUGACGCUGAGGAGCGAAAGCGUGGGGAGCGAACAGG